rnacentral:tRNA from 1 species
AAUGUUUUAGGUUAAGAAAACCCAUAACCUUCAAAGUUAUUAAUAAAUUGUUUUGUUUAAACAUUA